CCUACGGGAGGCAGCAGUGGGGAAUAUUGGACAAUGGGGGCAACCCUGAUCCAGCCAUGCCGCGUGUGUGAAGAAGGCCCUCGGGUUGUAAAGCACUUUCAGUGAGGAAGAACGCCUGGUGGUUAAUACCCAUCAGGAAAGACAUCACUCACAGAAGAAGCACCGGCUAACUCCGUGCCAGCAGCCGCGGUAAUACGGAGGGUGCGAGCGUUAAUCGGAAUUACUGGGCGUAAAGCGCGCGUAGGUGGCUUGAUAAGCCGGUUGUGAAAGCCCCGGGCUCAACCUGGGAACGGCAUCCGGAACUGUCAAGCUAGAGUGCAGGAGAGGAAGGUAGAAUUCCCGGUGUAGCGGUGAAAUGCGUAGAGAUCGGGAGGAAUACCAGUGGCGAAGGCGGCCUUCUGGACUGACACUGACACUGAGGUGCGAGAGCGUGGGUAGCAAACAGGAUUAGAUACCCUUGUAGUC
rnacentral:rRNA from 1 species